rnacentral:rRNA from 1 species
UAGUCUGCAACCCGACUACAUGAAGCUGGAAUCGCUAGUAAUCGCAAAUCAGAAUGUUGCGGUGAAUACGUUCCCGGGUCUUGUACACACCGCCCGUCACACCAUGGGAGUUGGAAAUGCCCGAAGUCAGUGACCCAACCAAAAGGAGGGAGCUGCCGAAGGCAGGUUCGAUGACUGGGGUGAAGUCGUAACAAGGUAAC